GUCUACGGCCAAACCACCCUGAGCACGCCCGUUCUCGUCGGAUCUCGGAAGCUAAGCAGGGUCGAAGUUAAGCAGGGUCGGUUAGUUCUUGGAUGGGAAAAUACAAACGUAUACU
ensembl:rRNA 5S_rRNA 5S ribosomal RNA